GGGCCCGCACAAGCGGUGGAGCAUGUGGUUUAAUUCGAUGAUACGCGAGGAACCUUACCAGGGCUUAAAUGUAGUGGGACAGGUCUAGAGAUAGACCCUUCUUCGGACUCAUUACAAGGUGCUGCAUGGUUGUCGUCAGCUCGUGCCGUGAGGUGUCAGGUUAAGUCCUAUAACGAGCGCAACCCCUAUCGUUAGUUGCCAGCGGGUAAUGCCGGGAACUCUAGCGAAACUGCCGGUGCAAACCGAGAGGAAGGUGGGGAUGACGUCAAAUCAUCACGGCCCUUACGACCAGGGCUACACACGUGCUACAAUGGGAUGGACAAAGAGUCGCGAAGCCGCGAGGUGUAGCU
rnacentral:rRNA from 1 species